rnacentral:rRNA from 1 species
AUUGAACGCUGGCGGCAGGCCUAACACAUGCAAGUCGAACGCGUGGCGGACGGGUGUAUAAUGUCUGGGAAACUGCCCGAUGGAGGGGUAUAACUACUAGAAACGGUCUCUAACAGCGCAUCCCAUCGUAUGUGCCCAGAUGGGAUUAGCUAGUAGGUGGGGUAACGGCUCACCUAGGCGACGAUCCCUCGCUGGUCUGAGAGGAUGACCAGCCACACUGGAACUGAGACACGGUCCAGACUCCUACGGGAGGCAGCAGUGGGGAAUAUUGCACAAUGGGCGCAAGCCUGAUGCAGCCAUGCCGCGUGUAUGAAGAAGGCCUUCGGGUUGUAAAGUACUUUCAGCGAGGAGGCGUUACUCGCAGAAGAAGCACCGGCUAACUCCGUGCCAGCAGCCGCGGUAAUUC